UACGUAGGGUGCGAGCGUUGCCCGGAUUUAUUGGGCGUAAAGGGCGCGUAGGCGGCUACGCACGUCCGUUGUGAAAUCGCUCGGCUCAACUGGGCGGGGUCAGCGGAUACGGCGUAGCUGGAGCAAGCUAGGGGGCAAUGGAAUUCCCGGUGUAGUGGUGAAAUGCGUAGAUAUUGGGAGGAACACCAGUGGCGAAGGCGGCUCACUGGACCGGAACUGACGCUGAGGCGCGAAAGCGUGGGGAGCAAACGGG
rnacentral:rRNA from 1 species